ACUCCUACGGGAGGCAGCAGUGGGGAAUUUUGGACAAUGGGCGAAAGCCUGAUCCAGCCAUGCCGCGUGCAGGAUGAAGGCCUUCGGGUUGUAAACUGCUUUUGUACGGAACGAAACGGCCUUUUCUAAUAAAGAGGGCUAAUGACGGUACCGUAAGAAUAAGCACCGGCUAACUACGUGCCAGCAGCCGCGGUAAUACGUAGGGUGCAAGCGUUAAUCGGAAUUACUGGGCGUAAAGCGUGCGCAGGCGGUUAUGUAAGACAGUUGUGAAAUCCCCGGGCUCAACCUGGGAACUGCAUCUGUGACUGCAUAGCUAGAGUACGGUAGAGGGGGAUGGAAUUCCGCGUGUAGCAGUGAAAUGCGUAGAUAUGCGGAGGAACACCGAUGGCGAAGGCAAUCCCCUGGACCUGUACUGACGCUCAUGCACGAAAGCGUGGGGAGCAAACAGGAUUAGAAACCCCAGUAGUCCCAU
rnacentral:rRNA from 1 species